GACCAGACUCCUACGGGAGGCAGCAGUGGGGGAUAUUGCACAAUGGGGGAAACCCUGAUGCAGCGACGCCGCGUGGGUGAAGAAGCGCCUCGGCGCGUAAAGCCCUGUCAGCAGGGAAGAAAAUGACGGUACCUGAAGAAGAAGCCCCGGCUAACUACGUGCCAGCAGCCGCGGUAAUACGUAGGGGGCGAGCGUUAUCCGGAUUCACUGGGUGUAAAGGGAGCGUAGACGGCCAAGCAAGCCAGGGGUGAAAGCCCGGGGCCCAACCCCGGGACUGCCCUUGGAACUGCACGGCUGGAGUGCGGGAGGGGCAGGCGGAAUUCCUGGUGUAGCGGUGAAAUGCGUAGAUAUCAGGAGGAACACCGGCGGCGAAGGCGGCCUGCUGGGCGUUAACUGACGCUGAGGCUCGAAAGCGUGGGGAGCAAACAGGAUUAGAUACCCUGGUAUUC
rnacentral:rRNA from 1 species